UACGUAGGGCGCAAGCGUUAUCCGGAAUUACUGGGCGUAAAGAGUGCGUAGGCGGUUCUUGAAGUCCGCUGUGAAAGCCCCGGGCUUAACCUGGGAAUGGCAGUGGAAACUGGGGGACUUGAAUUGAGCAGAGGGGGGUGGAAUGCCGCGUGUAGCAGUGAAAUGCGUAGAGAUGCGGCGGAACACCGAUGGCGAAGGCAGCCCCCUGGGCUUAAAUUGACGCUGAGGCACGAAAGCGUGGGGAGCGAACAGG
rnacentral:rRNA from 1 species